GGUCCGGUGCGGGAGCGCGGGAGGGCGUGACCGGCUCGGGGCCGGUUCGGGGCCGGUUCGGGGCCGGCUCGGGGCC
rnacentral:tRNA from 1 species